rfam:Candidate division WOR-1 bacterium RIFOXYB2_FTLL_37_13 rifoxyb2_full_scaffold_135, whole genome shotgun sequence.
GCGCGCUUAGCUCAGCUGGUUAGAGUACUUGCUUGACAGGCAAGGGGUCACUGGUUCGAUCCCAGUAGCGCGCA